GGGUUGUGAGGUUAAGCGACUAAGCGUACACGGUGGAUGCCCUGGCAGUCAGAGGCGAUGAAGGACGUGCUAAUCUGCGAUAAGCGCCGGUAAGGUGAUAUGAACCGUUAUAACCGGCGAUUUCCGAAUGGGGAAACCCAGUGUGAUUCGUCACACUAUCAUUAAC
rnacentral:rRNA from 3 species